UACGUAGGUGGCAAGCGUUAUCCGGAUUUAUUGGGCGUAAAGGGAACGCAGGCGGUCUUUUAAGUCUGAUGUGAAAGCCUUCGGCUUAACCGGAGUAGUGCAUUGGAAACUGGGAGACUUGAGUGCAGAAGAGGAGAGUGGAACUCCAUGUGUAGCGGUGAAAUGCGUAGAUAUAUGGAAGAACACCAGUGGCGAAAGCGGCUCUCUGGUCUGCAACUGACACUGAGGCUCGAAAGUGUGGGUAUCAAACAGG
rnacentral:rRNA from 1 species